rnacentral:rRNA from 1 species
ACUCAGGUGUUGUUGGGUAGGGGAGCGUUCUGUAAGCCUGUGAAGGUGGCCUGUGAGGGUUGCUGGAGGUAUCAGAAGUGCGAAUGCUGACAUAAGUAACGAUAAAGCGGGUGAAAAGCCCGCUCGCCGGAAGACCAAGGGUUCCUGUCCAACGUUAAUCGGGGCAGGGUGAGUCGACCCCUAAGGCGAGGCCGAAAGGCGUAGUCGAUGGGAAACGGGUUAAUAUUCCCGUACUUGGUGUUACUGCGAAGGGGGGACGGAGAAGGCUAUGUUGGCCGGGCGACGGUUGUCCCGGUUUAAGCGUGUAGGUGUGUGUUCCAGGUAAAUCCGGUUCACUUUAACACUGAGGCGUGACGACGAGGCACUACGGUGCUGAAGCAACAAAUGCCCUGCUUCCAGGAAAAGCCUCUAAGCAUCAGGUAACAUCAAAUCGUACCCCAAACCGACACAGGUGGUCAGGUAGAGAAUACCAAGGCGCUUGAGAGAACUCGGGUGAAGGAACUAGGCAAAAUGGUGCCGUAACUUCGGGAGAAGGCACGCUGACACGUAGGUGAAGUGAUUUACUCAUGGAGCUGAAGUCAGUCGAAGAUACCAGCUGGCUGCAACUGUUUAUUAAAAACACAGCACUGUGCAAACACGAAAGUGGACGUAUACGGUGUGACGCCUGCCCGGUGCCGGAAGGUUAAUUGAUGGGGUCAGCGCAAGCGAAGCUCCUGAUCGAAGCCCCGGUAAACGGCGGCCGUAACUAUAACGGUCCUAAGGUAGCGAAAUUCCUUGUCGGGUAAGUUCCGACCUGCACGAAUGGCGUAAUGAUGGCCAGGCUGUCUCCACCCGAGACUCAGUGAAAUUGAACUCGCUGUGAAGAUGCAGUGUACCCGCGGCAAGACGGAAAGACCCCGUGAACCUUUACUAUAGCUUGACACUGAACAUUGAGCCUUGAUGUGUAGGAUAGGUGGGAGGCUUUGAAGUGUGGACGCCAGUCUGCAUGGAGCCGACCUUGAAAUACCACCCUUUAAUGUUUGAUGUUCUAACGUGGACCCGUGAUCCGGGUUGCGGACAGUGUCUGGUGGGUAGUUUGACUGGGGCGGUCUCCUCCUAAAGAGUAACGGAGGAGCACGAAGGUUGGCUAAUCCUGGUCGGACAUCAGGAGGUUAGUGCAAUGGCAUAAGCCAGCUUGACUGCGAGCGUGACGGCGCGAGCAGGUGCGAAAGCAGGUCAUAGUGAUCCGGUGGUUCUGAAUGGAAGGGCCAUCGCUCAACGGAUAAAAGGUACUCCGGGGAUAACAGGCUGAUACCGCCCAAGAGUUCAUAUCGACGGCGGUGUUUGGCACCUCGAUGUCGGCUCAUCACAUCCUGGGGCUGAAGUAGGUCCCAAGGGUAUGGCUGUUCGCCAUUUAAAGUGGUACGCGAGCUGGGUUUAGAACGUCGUGAGACAGUUCGGUCCCUAUCUGCCGUGGGCGCUGGAGAACUGAGGGGGGCUGCUCCUAGUACGAGAGGACCGGAGUGGACGCAUCACUGGUGUUCGGGUUGUCAUGCCAAUGGCACUGCCCGGUAGCUAAAUGCGGAAGAGAUAAGUGCUGAAAGCAUCUAAGCACGAAACUUGCCCCGA